rnacentral:rRNA from 1 species
GGAUUGCCCUAGUAACGGCGAGUGAAGCGGCAACAGCUCAAAUUUGAAAUCGGCCCACCGGUCGAGUUGUAAUUUGCAGAGGAUGCUUCUGGGCAGCGGCCGGUCUAAGUUCCUUGGAACAGGACGUCAUAGAGGGUGAGAAUCCCGUAUGUGACCAGGCGCGCACCCUCCACGUAGCUCCUUCGACGAGUCGAGUUGUUUGGGAAUGCAGCUCUAAAUGGGAGGUAAAUUUCUUCUAAAGCUAAAUACCGGCCAGAGACCGAUAGCGCACAAGUAGAGUGAUCGAAAGAUGAAAAGCACUUUGGAAAGAGAGUUAAAAAGCACGUGAAAUUGUUGAAAGGGAAGCGCUUGCCACCAGACUUGACGGCGGGGUUCCGCCGGUCUUUUGACCGGCCCACUCCCCGCCGGCAGGCCAACAUCGUCUGGGGCCGCCGGAUAAGACGUCAGGAAUGUAGCUCCUCGGAGUGUUAUAGCCUCUCGUGAUGCGGCGCGUCCCGGGCGAGGUCCGCGCUUCGGCAAGGAUGUUGGCGUAAUGGUUGUCAGCGGCCCGUCUUGAAACACGGACCAAGGAGUCUAACAUCUAUGCGAGUGUUCGGGUGUCAAACCCCUACGCGUAAUGAAAGUGAACGGAGGUGGGAGCUUCGGCGCACCAUCGACCGAUCCUGAUGUCCUCGGAUGGAUUUGAGUAAGAGCAUAGCUGUUGGGACCCGAAAGAUGGUGAACUAUGCCUGAAUAGGGUGAAGCCAGAGGAAACUCUGGUGGAGGCUCGCAGCGGUUCUGACGUGCAAAUCGAUCGUCAAAUUUGGGUAUAGGGGCGAAAGACUAAUCGAACCAUCUAGUAGCUGGUUC